rnacentral:piRNA from 1 species
CGGGACUCAGCAGUGAUAAAAAUUAAGCAA